rnacentral:sRNA from 1 species
UGAGAGCAUUGAUAUCCUGAGAAGUAGGCAUUGUGCUAAACUCUGCUGGAAGAAAUACUUCAGAUGGCACAAAAUUGAUGCCACUUGUAGGCUCCCCGUCUUCCUGUCUGCUAUUGUUCACUGAGGCAUCAUGCAAGGAAAUGUUCUUCGCAGGAUCAGAAGUGCUACUGACAGACACAUCCUCUGUGCCAACUGCAGGUUCAUUUCCACAGGUACUUGAGAUAGCUGGUACACGAUCACCUGCCAGAAAUGAGCAACAAAUUUCAGUGACUGAUACCAUGUAAUCAAAACUAGUAACGUGUAAAGUCAACUUGCAGCUUUGAUUCAGCAACAUUUUGUGCUUCCGAAUGGUAAUUCUCAGUUGGAAGCUCAAAUAAGUCGUCGCUCCUGGUAUCAUCUAGAAUGAACGGAUUCUUUGUGGACACUUGAUCCAUUAGUAAGGCAACAUGCUGACUUGCAGAGACCUGGCCUAUAAUAGGAACCUCAGGGCCAAUCUCUUUGCUGCAGACCACCUCUUCUUGUUGUGGGUUCUCCUCACAAGAAAAACCCAACUCACUGCCCUUCGCUUUGAUGCCUUCACUACAAAUAUCUUCAUCAUCAGAACCCCACAUGCUAUCCAUAUUAGUAACAACAUGGUCACUCUGAUGACCAUCUAAAGAACAUACUGAAUUACCCAGGAACGGAUUCUCAACAGGCAGCUGGGCAUCUAAAGUAUCUUUAACACACUUGUACUGUGAAGAGCAAUCUGUCAAGGUAUUUACAGCAUUGGUGAGCUUCAGUUGAUCUUCAGUUUGCACAAAGUCAAUUCUGGAAUUUUCUGUUACAGAUUCAGCAUUGGCUGAUCCUGCUUUUUCUUCCAAACUUGGUGAUACUUCAGAUAUGAUGUGCAGAGCAUCCAUGCUAUCUUCCAUCAAGCUUUCAACCAUUAUGGGACUUGUAGAUUGGGAUGUUAGGUCAGAAAUAAAUGAAGUUGAACCAUUCACAUCACCAAUAAACUCAGAUGUCUUAUCAGGUUUGCUGUCAACAAUAUAUGUAUUAUCACUGUGAACAUUAACUGAGAAUUCAUCUGAACUCUCAAGCAUCACAGUAGGCUCAACUUCUUUUCCAACUAUGGAUUCACCAGAUAAAUUAGUCAUAUUGGGUUGUCCUGAUAACUGAUCUUUCGAUACUCCAUCCAUUUCCACAGAAAUUUCAUUUGCUGCUACACUUGCUGCUGGUGAAACACUAUCCAAAUUCUUAAUUUCUUCAAUAGAAAAAUCUGACUUAUGUGCUACUGCUGCACCAACUUCAGAAUCUGGUUGAUGAAGAAAAGGAGACGCGUCCUGGUACUCAUCAAGACUAUCUUCUCGUUCAGCCGGACGUCCAACUGCAAGUGGUGAAAUUUCAGAGUAAUGUUCUGCAACUUAAUUUUGACUUCAUUGGUGCAAGGCCUUCAUAAGUUAGUUUUCAUACCUUCUUUUG